GCACAACGCGAAGAACCUUACCUACUCUUGACAUCCAGAGAACUUAGCAGAGAUGCUUUGGUGCCUUCGGGAACUCUGAGACAGGUGCUGCAUGGCUGUCGUCAGCUUGUGUUGUGAAAUGUUGGGUUAAGUCCCGCAACGAGCGCAACCCUUAUCCUUUGUUGCCAGCGGUUCGGCCGGGAACUCAAAGGAGACUGCCAGUGAUAAACUGGAGGAAGGUGGGGAUGACGUCAAGUCAUCAUGGCCCUUACGAGUAGGGCUACACACGUGCUACAAUGGCGUAUACAAAGAGAAGCGACCUCGCGAGAGCAAGCGGACCUCAUAAAGUACGUCGUAGUCCGGAUUGGAGUCUGCAACUCGACUCCAUGAAGUCGGAAUCGCUAGUAAUCGUAGAUCAGAAUGCUACGGUGAAUACGUUCCCGGGUCUUGUACACACCG
rnacentral:rRNA from 1 species